rnacentral:rRNA from 1 species
AUUGAACGCUGGCGGCAGGCCUAACACAUGCAAGUCGAGCGGAUGAAGGGAGCUUGCUCCUGGAUUUAGCGGCGGACGGGUGAGUAAUGCCUAGGAAUCUGCCUGGUAGUGGGGGAUAACGUCCGGAAACGGGCGCUAAUACCGCAUACGUCCUGAGGGAGAAAGUGGGGGAUCUUCGGACCUCACGCUAUCAGAUGAGCCUAGGUCGGAUUAGCUAGUUGGUGGGGUAAAGGCCUACCAAGGCGACGAUCCGUAACUGGUCUGAGAGGAUGAUCAGUCACACUGGAACUGAGACACGGUCCAGACUCCUACGGGAGGCAGCAGUGGGGAAUAUUGGACAAUGGGCGAAAGCCUGAUCCAGCCAUGCCGCGUGUGUGAAGAAGGUCUUCAGAUUGUAAAGCACUUUAAGUUGGGAGGAAGGGCAGUAAGUUAAUACCUUGCUGUUUUGACGUUACCAACAGAAUAAGCACCGGCUAACUUCGUG